rnacentral:rRNA from 1 species
UACGUAGGUGGCAAGCGUUGUCCGGAAUUAUUGGGCGUAAAGCGCGCGCAGGUGGCUAUGUAAGUCUGAUGUUAAAGCCCGGGGCUCAACCCCGGUCCGCAUUGGAAACUGUGUAGCUUGAGCGCAGGAGAGGAAAGUGGUAUUCCACGUGUAGCGGUGAAAUGCGUAGAGAUGUGGAGGAACACCAGUGGCGAAGGCGACUUUCUGGCCUGUAACUGACACUGAGGCGCGAAAGCGUGGGGAGCAAACAGG